GGAAACUAUACAGCUUCGCUUCGCUCGAUUUUUCCAUUGCAAGUAAAAUGAUGGGAUCCUCUUAACUGCUAGACGGCCUCUCCUGGAUUCCCGACGCUCUGAAGUCAAUAGUGCUGAAUCCGCCAGGCUGAGCCGUUCAUCAGCGGACAGCGAUGCACAGACUGUGAGACGGAUUGGACGGCUGGUGAUGAGGCGAGUGUGCGUGCCUGAGCUGGAUCAGAGGUUUUUGGAGAUGGCUGAGACCUUCAACAAGCAGCAGGAAGGCUACGAGGCCAUGGUGCAGCAUAUAAGAAACCUCCAGCAGAGCUGUGACUGUUCCCAUGAUGACACCCUUGCUUUUGUUCAGUGUUUGGGGAAGAUUAGAGAGGAGCAGGAACCAACAUACCAGGUCUCUCUUAAGAUGAAGGGCUACGACUUCUUCCUCAGUGCGGUUCCUGUGUGGUCUGAGGGCGCAGGUGAGGGGAAACCGCUUCCUCCACGUCUGCAGAGGGCUCAGAACGAACUGAAGGGUGCUUCUGACAGCACCAGGAUGACCAUUUCAAAGGGGACCACCCUUCAAGAGCUUAUCGGCUGGUUGCUCCGUAGCCAUGAUAAAAUGGCUGAGCAAGUGAAGAAGGCAGCAGAAACUUACCAAGAACAAGGGAGACUUAGUGAGAACCUGGAGGAGAACAUGAGGGAAGUGAGGAGGGCCAAAGAGUUGUCUCAAGGAUACAGACAACAGGCCACGGCAGUUCUCACUGAGGCUGCACAGAUAGCAGGGGCUCAACUGUAGUGCACAUAUCUUUCUAAAAGUUUUGUUUUAACCGACAGCAAUGCGGAAGUACAGCAUUUCCAUGGGUUAUCUCCAUAAAUAUCCCCACCAAUCGUAUCAAGACUGUCAUAUCUCCUUUUAUUAUUUGAUUAUAAUAGAAACGUAUUCUAACACUUUAAAUAGGUUUAAAGUGGGUUUUUUUAUUUUGCGUCAUUACAUUCUGUCAUAUGUAUUGUUAGAGUGGUAGAUGCUCAUACUUAACCUGGUUUAAGGUUCUAAUAAUGAACUCUCGAUGUGUGUAACUGUGUAAAAGCCAAAAGCUCAAGCUUCAAACUGUGUUAAAUAUUCCAUUUUAGAAUUUUUUUUCUUUUAGAUUUAGCUUUGAUGAUGUUCUUCAAUGUAAAUUGUGAAGACUUUGAAUAUAUCUGUGUAUCUACAGUGCAUAAUGCCAUCAAAGGUUUCAGAGAAUCUGGACAAAUCUCUGUGCACAAGAGACAAGGCUGAAAAUCUGAAUGCACGGGAUUAAACACACAGUCCUGUCAUGGAAAUCACUACAUGGGCUCAUGAAACACUUCUAGAAAUUAUUGUAAACAUGCGUUGCCAUGUCAUUCACAAAUUUAAGUUAAAGGCAUAUCAUGCAAAGAAGAAGCCAUAUGUGAACAUGAUCAAAAAACCCUGCUGUCUUCCCUGAGGCACUUAACCUGGACUGAGGCAAUGUGGUCAGACAAAUCAAAUCAAAAACAGGAAAGCUCCAUCCUCUGGACUAAAGAGACAAUUGUUACCAGUGCUCAGUUCAAAAGUCUGCAUCUCUGGUGGUAUGAGGAUGUAUGAGUGCUGUGGAAUUGGCAACUUGUGCAGUUGAAAAUGAGCACUGCAGGUCCCCUUUUCUCGAAUACAUGUAAUUUCCCUAGCCAACAUUAGGGGGCAAUGCCGCUUCACUUUUAUCUAACAACCGCUCAUCGUUUCAUCCUCAUCAGACUUUUAGAAAUAGCACCGCAAUGACAAAGCUUGUCUGAACUCCAGAAUUAAAUUUAUAAACGUGC
ensembl:lncRNA